AUUGUUGAUCGAAACUUUAAAUGCAUUUUAUAAAAAAAAAAGAACAAUUGUAAAAAUACCAGCUUAUUAAAAGUUCUUAAAUUUGUGAGAUUCUCAAUAAUAUGAUACAUUUCAGCUAGAGACACAAGAGAAGAAUGUGGAGUAAAUGCCAAUAAAAGCUCGACUGCAGGGGUAUAUAUACCUGACUUCUCAGGAAUUUCUGGUUAUCACCAUCCGAUUCAGAGGAGAAGACCAACUUCAAAGUGACUCUUACGCAUUGAGCUUUCGCUGAUAGACACAAAUUGUUCAGAAAAAAUCCAGCUACCACAGCCAUGCUAGCUGAUUUCUGGCGUGCGUUCAGAAGGAACAUAGAUGCAAUGAUGAAACAGUCUCCAGACAGAUGGGUGGCCCUUGAGUAGAGAAUGUUAAAAAGAAUUGAAGCAUUCAAUAAAGAAGAUUAAGAAACAGAAUGUGUCCAGUUGUUUGUUCAUCAAAAGAAUAACUUUGAU